CUAGAUUUCAGUAGACUAAAAAAAUUACAUUUUUUUUUUUCGAACUCUUGACUAUUUGCAAUUUAUUUAAACUCAAUACAGUUAGGAUUGGUCCUGUUUAAUCCAUUAGAUUUGCUGGGGAUAUUGUAUUAAUACAUAAACCCAAUUCCAUCCUUGUGUGUUAAACAUGUAGGAAAUAAUUUUAACUAAAUCAAUGAUAUACAAGCUACAGAGGUUUUCAGUAUUUCUUAAAGAAAGCAUUUU